rnacentral:rRNA from 1 species
GAAGAACCUUACCACCCCUUGACAUCCUCGGAAAUGCCUGGAGACAGGCAGGUGCCUUUGGGAACCGAGUGACAGGUGGUGCAUGGCUGUUGUCAGCUCGUGUCGUGAGAUGUUGGGUUAAGUCCCGUAACGAGCGCAACCCUUGUCCUUAUUUGCCAGCGGGUCAGGCCGGGAACUCUAGGGAGACUGCCGGUGACAAACCGGAGGAAGGCGGGGAUGACGUCAAGUCAUCAUGGCCCUCACGGGGUGGGCUACAAACGUGCUACAAUGGGCGGCACAGAGGGCUGCGAACCAGCAAUGGCAAGCGAAUCCCAAAAAACCGCUUGUAGUCCGGAUAGGAGUCUGCAACUCGACUCCUUGAAGUCGGAAUCGCUAGUAAUCGCGA